rnacentral:rRNA from 1 species
AUGAAAAAUAGGUUUAAAGGAGUGUUGCUUAGUGCAGUGGGUAUUGAUCCUAAUGACUGCAUUUUCCCCAUUGCAAUGGGUUGGGUGGAAGUAGAGUGCACCAGUUCUUGGGAGUGGUUUCUCACUACAUUGAGAGAUGACCUUAACAUCACAAAUAGUGCUCCUUUCACUAUUAUGAGUGACAAGCAGAAAGGUUUGAUCAAUGCUGUGCAAAAAAUCUGGCCAGAUGCUGAGCAUAGGUUUUGUGUUAUGCAUAUUUAUCAGAAUUUCAAUGAGAAGCACAAAGGAGAGCAACUGAAGCAAGAUAUGUGGGCCAUUGCAAGAGCACCAAACAGGGUUAAGUGGAGCCAAAACUGUGAGAAAAUGGAUGGACACAGUGCAGCUGCCUUCCACUGGACUGAAAGACUUGAUCCAAAGACAUGGUGUAAAUCAUUUUUAGUGUCUUUCCCAAGUGUGAUAUUCUGCUGA